rnacentral:rRNA from 1 species
GACAGAGGUGCCGAGCGUUAGGCGGAAUCACUGGGCUUAAAGCGUGUGUAGGCGGAGGCCUAAGUACCUUGUGAAAUCCCACGGCUCAACCGUGGAACUGCUUGGUAUACUGGGUCUCUUGAGCCACCUAGGGGCAAGUGGAACAAACGGUGGAGCGGUGAAAUGCGUAGAGAUCCGGAGGAACACCGACGGCGUAAGCAGCGCCCUAAACGAGUACUGACGCUCAGGCACGAAAGCUGGGGGAGCAAACAGG